UGGGGAAUAUUGCACAAUGGGGGAAACCCUGAUGCAGCCAUGCCGCGUGUGUGAAGAAGGCCUUCGGGUUGUAAAGCACUUUCAGGUGUGAGGAAAGGUAGUAAGUUAAUACCUUACUACUGUGACGUUAACACCAGAAGAAGCACCGGCUAACUCCGUGCCAGCAGCCGCGGUAAUACGGAGGGUGCGAGCGUUAAUCGGAAUUACUGGGCGUAAAGCGCACGCAGGCGGUUUGUUAAGCUAGAUGUGAAAGCCCCGGGCUCAACCUGGGAUGGUCAUUUAGAACUGGCAGACUAGAGUCUUGGAGAGGGGAGUGGAAUUCCAGGUGUAGCGGUGAAAUGCGUAGAUAUCUGGAGGAACAUCAGUGGCGAAGGCGACUCCCUGGCCAAAGACUGACGCUCAUGUGCGAAAGUGUGGGUAGCGAACAGGAUUAGAUACCCCCGUAGUCC
rnacentral:rRNA from 1 species